rnacentral:rRNA from 1 species
ACACAUGCAAGUCGAGCGGAUGAAGGGAGCUUGCUCCUGGAUUCAGCGGCGGACGGGUGAGUAAUGCCUAGGAAUCUGCCUGGUAGUGGGGGAUAACGUCCGGAAACGGGCGCUAAUACCGCAUACGUCCUGAGGGAGAAAGUGGGGGAUCUUCAGACCUCACGCUAUCAGAUGAGCCUAUGUCGGAUUAACUAGUUGGUGGGGUAAAGGCCUACCAAUGCGACGAUCCGUAACUGGUCUGAGAGGAUGAUCACUCACAGUGGAACUGAGACACGGUCCAGACUCCUACGGGAGGCAGCAGUGGGGAAUAUUGGACAAUGGGCGAAAGCCUGAUCCAGCCAUGCCGCGUGUGUGAAGUAGGUCUUCGUAUUGUAAAGCACUUUAAGUUGGGAGGAACGGCAGUACGUUAAUACCGUGCUGUUUUGACGUUACCAACAGAAUAAGCACCGGCUAACUUCGUGCCAGCAGCCGCGGUAAUACGAAGGGUGCAAGCGUUAAUCGGAAUUACUGGGCGUAACGCGCGCGUACGUGGUUCAGCAAGUUGGAUGUGAAAUCCCCGGGCUCAACCUGGGAACUGCAUCCAAAACUACUGAGCUAGAGUACGGUAGAGGGUGGUGGAAUUUCCUGUGUAGCGGUGAAAUGCGUAGAUAUAGGAAGGAACACCAGUGGCGAAGGCGAUGAGGUGGACUGAUACUGACACUGAGGUGCGAAAGCGUGGGGAGCAAACAGGAUUAGAUACCCUGGUAGUCCACGCCGUAAACGAUGUCGACUAGCCGUU